GUCGAAUUCGUCUAACGGUUAGGACACAAGGUUUUCAUCCUUGCAAUAGCGGUUCGAUUCCGCUAUUCGAUG
rnacentral:tRNA from 1 species